UCCCAGCUGGCUCAGUGGUAGAGAACCCGCCUGCAAUGCAGGAGACACAGGCUUAAUUCCUGAGCAGGGAA
rnacentral:tRNA from 1 species